UCGCAUUCCUGGGCAGGGAUCCCGGGGACAGGGCCAGGCUGAGCCACUGCCCCGCGCGUGACUGGGCGCCCCGGGAGCAGCAUCCCCGUGGGAACGAGGGAGGGAGGGAAGGAGGGAGGGAGGGAGCCGGGCUGGUGAGUCAACACUGCAGAGCUGCUGCGAGAGGAGCGGGAGGCAGAGCCAAGGCCGGCUGGGAAGGACGGAUUUAGCUGAGCCCCGCGACAAAAUGGUUUGAGUAAUUAUCGACGCCUGCCGCUAUGUGGCCAGGAAGAUGAGGACCCUGUGGAGCCGGGAGCACCGGGAGCCGCCGCCCUGCCCGGCACAGGCUGAGCCCCGCGGCCACCAGCAGAAUGUAAAGGCAGAGGUAUCAGCACCCCCUGAAGCAACAGCCUCCCUUCCCAGGAACAUCAAACCCAUCCAGUGCAGGUCCUGACAGUAAAAAGCCCUCAAGGUCCUCCCAUGAAGGCCACAAGAUUUCUUCCCACUGAUUUCUCCAGGGAAUCCAUUUGCUGGUUAUCUUGCAGCCCAGGGAUCGGAAAAUAUCAGCUAAUCCCUCCUGUAUCUGCUCUCAACACAGAAGCACAAGGAUAGAAAACACCUUAAUUGGUCUCCUGUUACCAGAAUUUUCUC